rnacentral:rRNA from 2 species
UGGGGAAUAUUGGACAAUGGGCGCAAGCCUGAUCCAGCCAUGCCGCGUGAGUGAUGAAGGCCCUAGGGUUGUAAAGCUCUUUCACCGGUGAAGAUAAUGACGGUAACCGGAGAAGAAGCCCCGGCUAACUUCGUGUCAGCAGCCGCGGUAAUACGAAGGGGGCUAGCGUUGUUCGGAUUUACUGGGCGUAAAGCGCACGUAGGCGGACUUUUAAGUCAGGGGUGAAAUCCCGGGGCUCAACCCCGGAACUGCCUUUGAUACUGGAAGUCUUGAGUAUGGUAGAGGUGAGUGGAAUUCCGAGUGUAGAGGUGAAAUUCGUAGAUAUUCGGAGGAACACCAGUGGCGAAGGCGGCUCACUGGACCAUUACUGACGCUGAGGUGCGAAAGCGUGGGGAGCAAACAGG